CUGAGGAUGCUUCCAGCCCUGGAGGAGAUGCAGGUGCUGGGGGUGAGGACUUAGCCCCCGUGUGUUUCCAACCAAGGGGUCUUCAGAGUAGCCUGGAGACAGGGCUCAGAGAUCUGUCCCAAAAGCCACUCAGGAUUGGUGCAAUAGGUCCAGGCCUCACCCUUGGCUUAAAGCUGUGGUUUGUUUUUCUGUUAAUUUUCUUAAUUUUUGGUUUUAAUUUACAGCUGGGCAUAGUGGUGCACGCCCUUAAUCCAAGCCUUCUGGAGCCAAAGGCAGCCCAGAACUAUACAGAGAGACUCUAAAAUAUUGGAGGGGGUCAUUUUGAGACAGGCUUUGUGUGUGCGUGUGUGUUUGUAGACCAGGCUGGCCCUGGACUCCCAGAGAUCCACCUGUCUCUGCUUCCUGAGUGCUGGGAUUAAAGGUGUGUGCUGCCAUCACCAUCCAGCUUUUAUCAUUGUUUCUGUGUGCUUGAAUAGUGAGGUUAGGUAAGGAUGUGAAAGGGUGUGACAGUCUUGGAGCUGCUGAGGUUUGUGAGCUGCCCUGUGUUGAGGCUGGCAACCAAACUUGGGUCUUCUGCAAGAAUAGCGUGUGCUCUGAAGUGCCGAGCACCUGUCCAGACCCAGGGUGCUGUUUGAUAGCUCCAUUGUGCUACACUAUGCUCCAAGCCCACUGGACAUUUUGUACCUGUUGUGCCCCGAGGCACCUUUACUUGUAGAUUGCCACUGGGUUUUCAGGUGAGCGUUCUUUUAAGGGACAAGGUUGCCUGGGCUGGCCCCAAACUCAAGCAUUCCUGCCUCUGCCUCCCGAGUGGCUGCCACUGCAGAGACACAGCCAUUAGUGUCCAGUUUGGGGUGUGUGUGCUGCAAGAGUAGAGUAUUUGAUCUUGCACUUAGGGCUUCAUCCUGAGUAGAAUUCUCAUCUCAGCCUGCUCUCAAAGAGCAGCAAGCAGAGCUGUUACGGGAGAAAAUGGAGUUUCCCUGAGACCUUGUUCACUACUAGGGCUCUCAGCGUCCUCUGCUCCAAUGCCAAAUCCCGUUUACAUCCCCGACACGUUCAUGCGUGGGGAACUGCUGCUGGCUGGCUUUCUCCCGAUGAAGGGACUGCACUGUGCUGAGCCACCCUACUCCAAGAGCCGGCGCUGUACUGGAGAUAGCCUCUCACGCGCUAACACAAAACCCUACACUAGAGCAGCGUCUGGUCACCAGGUAGGUGCUCAGAGGCGAGGACACUGGCCGGGGCUUCCUGCGUGUCUCUGUGACCGGAGGCUCCUGGCUGAGCUCGGUGUCUGCGCGUCCCCGCCCUGCAGCGGGACGGAGAAACUGCGCCCACCCCUGUGGCGGGCUCCGGCCACGCCCCCGCAGCGCAGCGGCCGCUUUACGGCUGAGGCCGCGCAGCGCGGCGAGCGGCCGUAAAGCCCGGAGGCGGCGCCGCCCCUCCAGGCUGAGCGCUGGCCGGGCGCCCGCAGCAUGGCGGGCGCUUCCUCGUGCGUGCACUACCUGUCCGACUUCUGCUGCCCGCCCGGAGGCCGAGCGGCGGGGAAGCCGCACGUGCUGCGUCAUGAGGCGGAAGUCUUUCUGUCCACCGGGCGCGAGUUCGUCUACGUGUACGACCAGGAGGGCGGGCUGCUGACGGCCGUGUACCAGUUUCCCGACCAGGUGUGGCACCUGCAGCUCCUGGCCCUCCGCAGGGCGCUCUACGUCCUGUGUGCCCGGACUGGCAUCUACUGCCUGUCGCUGGACUCGCCGCGCAGAAGGUCUGCGAGCCAGGCCUGUGAGGACACGGAGGAUGAGGCUCACCCUUGCCCUGUGAUCCACGUGGACCCAGACGCCUGUGUCCUCCCUGAUGCUGCACUCUGUGCCUUCACCGUGCUGGAUGAUGUGCUGGUCGCCCUGGUCCAGGGCCCCACCCAGUGGAAGAUGCAGCUGUUUGAGCGGCCCUAUCCAGGGGAGGAGCCUCAGCCAGGAGGCCAGAUUGGUGAGGUGGAGUUGUCCACCAGCACCCCUCCAGGUGGGGUGCCAGGAAAGCUUGCAGCCCCCUGCUUCCUGCCAGUGCUGUGCUGCGUGUUCCCCCCAGGCUCCAGGGCACCUCAUGGCCAUCCCCAGGGCUGUGGGUGCCUCGUGCUGGAGGAGGCCCUCUUUGGGCUGCUCUUUGGAGUUGAUGCCACCCUCUUGCAGUCCCCUGUGGUCCUCUGCGGUCUCCCUGAUGGCCAGCUCUGCUGUGUGGUCCUGAAGGCCUUGGUUACUUCUGGGUCAGCCCCUGGUGACCCAAAGGUCCUGGUCAAGAUCCUCCACCACCUGGAGGAGCCGGUGGUCUUCAUUGGGGCUUUGAGGACAGAGCCAUACCCUGAGGAAGCUGCAGCAGACUUACCACCUGGUGAGAAUGAGCACUCUGACUGCAUGGUGGCCCUCGGCCACCAGGGCCGGACACUGGCCAUCAAGGCCAGCUGGAGUGCGUCAGGGAACCUGGUACCAGAGCUGCGUGAGUACUGCCUGCCAGGGCCUGUGCUCUGUGCGGCCUGUGGCCGGGAUGGCCACAUGUACCACAGCACCCCUUCAAACCUCUGUGUGGUAGACUUGACUCGGAGAGACAUCCCUUGGAACACCGAGAAGCCGGAUGAGGCCACAGGAGGUCUGCCCCCCGUGCUCUGCCCAGCCAGCUUGAACAUCUGCAGCGUGGUCACUCUCUGCGUGUCAGGAGCGCCUACAGGUAGCACCGAGCUCCUGGCCCUGUCCUCUAAAGGGCGUCUGAUUACCUGUAGCCUGGAUUUGAAUUCUGAGGUGCCUAUGCCUGCCAAAAUGACCAUGGCAAAUGCAGGCCAGAAAAUUAAGGAGCUGCUCCUGGACAUCGGUGAUGUCUCUGAGAGGGUGUCCUUUCUGAAGAAAGCUGUUGACCAACGCAACAAGGCCAUAACAAGUCUCAACGAAGCCAUGAAUGUGAGCUGUGCACUGCUAUCCAGCCAGGAGGGUGGCCGGCCCAUCUCUUGUACCAUCACUUUGUCCUGGAGCCGCCUGGAGUUACGAGACAUGCUGCUGGCCACCUGCACGCUGGAGAACAGCAGCAGCUUCUGCCUGGACCAGGGCUGGACCUUGUGUAUUCAGGUGCUCACUAGCUCGUCUGCCUUAGACCUGGAUGGGGCAGGCUCCACAUUCACCUACACCAUUCCGGUGGACAGACUUGGCCCAGGCAGUCGGCGGGAAGUGACGUUGCCCCUGGGCCCCAGCGAGAGUGGCACGCUUGACCUGCCAGUGACCAUGUCCUGCUGGCUCUUCUACAGCCUCAGAGAAGUGGUGGGUGGGGCCCUGGCCCCCUCCGACCCUCUAGAGGACCCCUGUCUGGAGAGCCUCCCUCUCAACCUUCCCAAGCAGGAGGGUGUCUGUCUGCCCCUGUGCAAGCGUACCGUGGACAUGCUGCAGUGUCUGCGGUUCCCUGCGCUGGCCUCACGCCCCACGCAGGCCCCCUGUGUGCCUGGCCCUGCCUGUGACCCUGUGGAAACUUUCCUGAAGACCUGCCAAGGCCCUGGCAGUGAGCCGACCGGCGCUGCCUCCCUACGGGCCAAGUACCUGCCUCCAUCCACGGCGUCCAUCAGGGUGUCAGCAGCGCUGCUCAGAGCCGCCCUGGAAGACAGUCGCUCAGGUUCCCACCUGUGCAGCGCUACCCUGCGGUGGCUCCUUGCCGAGAAUGCUGCUGUGGACGCCGUGAGGGCCCAGGCACUGUCUUCCAUCCAGGGAGUAGCCCCAGAUGGUACUGAUGUCAACCUCAUCGUCCACGAGGUAGCUGUGACUGAUUUGAGCCCUGCAGGGCCCAUCCAGGCUGUGGAGAUCCAAGUGGAGAGCUCCUCUCUGGCCAACAUGUGCAGGGUACACCACGCCAUCAUCAGACGGAUGAAGGCAGCAUUCGGGGCAGCUGCAGCCACACACCUCCAUGUCCAAGGACAGGAACCUGUCCACGGCCACUUGGGCCUUGCCCGUAGGCAACUCUCCAAGAUGAAUGGCUGGAUAUUUGCUCCAGACGAUGGUCACAGAGCAAGCAGCCAGAGGCUCCAGCCCACCCGACCUGCGCGUGCAGUACCUACACCAGAUCCAUGCCAACCACCAGGAACUGCUUCGUGAAGUGCAGACACUGCGUGACCAGUUGUGCACGGAGGAUGAAGUCAGCUCUUGCUCCACAGCUCAGAAGCUCUUGCAGAUUUACAAGCAGCUGCGCAACCCUAGCCUUGUCCUGUUGUGACCAGCUGCUGGCCAGCUCCGGUCGCUGCGGGACACACUUCAGGCUGAGCAUCGGGGCUUGCCUGGCAACGCCCUUCACCGGAACCUCUGCAGCCUCGUGAGAAGUAGCUCAGCUCCGCCCAAGUACUCAGGCCGUGGAGACACAGGGUUUCUGGGGUUCGGACCUCCCGGGUGUGGGACUGCUCUGCUGACCCUGGCACACCCAGGAGCACUGGCUGCCGCCUUGGAGCCACCAGGUGGCAGAGUGCUCAGUCAACCAAAGCACAAAGACCAUGAGAGGGUGCCCGCAGGCGCCAGUGGCCGGGCGGCCCGCGUGGUGCUGCUCUCACUCGGGAGGGCGCGUCUGCAGAGCUUUGAGAGCUCCGGUUGAGUUCUGUGAGGUGCUGUGCUGACAAUCGGCCCAUUUCAUCAA